GCUUACGGCCAUACCACCCUGAGCACGCCCGAUCUCGUCUGAUCUCGGAAGCUAAGCAGACUCGGGCCUGGUUAGUACCUGGAUGGGAGACCGCCUGGGAAUACCAGGUGCUGUAAGCU
ensembl:rRNA 5S_rRNA 5S ribosomal RNA